rnacentral:tRNA from 1 species
UCAGAUUUAGUUUAAAAAAAACAUGAACUUUGGAAGUUCAAGAUGCUUCUGAG